rnacentral:rRNA from 1 species
CGAAGUGAGUGGCGAACGGGUGAGUAACACGUGGGUAACCUGCCCAGAAGUAGGGGAUAACACCUGGAAACAGAUGCUAAUACCGUAUAACAGAGAAAACCGCAUGGUUUUCUUUUAAAAGAUGGCUCUGCUAUCACUUCUGGAUGGACCCGCGGCGUAUUAGCUAGUUGGUGAGGUAAAGGCUCACCAAGGCAGUGAUACGUAGCCGACCUGAGAGGGUAAUCGGCCACAUUGGGACUGAGACACGGCCCAGACUCCUACGGGAGGCAGCAGUAGGGAAUCUUCCACAAUGGACGCAAGUCUGAUGGAGCAACGCCGCGUGAGUG